rnacentral:lncRNA from 1 species
UGUGAGUAAUGGGAACUAAGCUGACCACUGUGUGUUCUGCCUGAUGGCAGAGCUAGUCCUGCUCUGUUCCCUGGGGUUUUGCUGAGUGGUUACUGGUCUCUGGUUACUUCUCAUUCUACCAGUGGGUGAUUUGCCUGCCUGUGUGUCUGGCAGAAUAUAUGUGGUGGCCACAGAGGUCAGAAGAGAGCCACCAUGUGGGUGCCAGGAUCUGAACCUAGGACCUCCACAAGAGCAGCCAGCACUCUCAACCGCUGAGCCAUCUCACAGACUUACACUCUGUAGGGAAGAGACAAGUGCUGACUGGACAGGUGAGUCACUGUGAGCAGACCCCAGAAGGCUGAGGAGCUCUGGCUAAGGUUGAAGCAGGAAAGAAUGCAAGUCCUUGAGGGUGGCUCACUGAUCACCUUUGAGAGAAGGCCAGUAGGAGGUGAGACAGGAACUACGGCCUGGGCAGGACCAGCAAAGAGACACAUGGUCAUGUCGAAGCAGGGGUGACUGUGGCAGCUGAGCAGAAGGAGUGUGCAGAGGGUCCAGCCUGUGCUCUUUACAACAAGCUAAAAGGUGCAGUGGCAUAAAAGAUCACCUAGCCCUGCCAGUGGGGACCUACAACCGCCUUUCGUCCUGUAGCCAUUUUUCUCGGCAGCCAGUGCUUGGCGCCAUUUGUAUUCUGUUAAGUAUGCUGAGAAAGCGUGUUUGUGCUGGAUUAUAUUCUGUGUUUCUGCAUGCACUCUGUUUAUCUGACCAUCCCUCUCUUUGCAUUAGCUCUUUGCUGAUGUCUCGACGUUGAAACUGUGGAGCCGGCACCUAUGUAUUUUCCUGCCCAGGGAAUUAAAGUGCCCGUCAUCGGCUAAUAUUUCCAGACAGAACUCAAACCUUCCCAUAGUCCCCUGGACAGAUAUGGAUGGCCACAUCACAGCUGUGCAGUUCCUGUGGCUCCCCUCUCCCUCACCCGCCCUGCCUCCUUGCUGGCCAUCACCCUGUCUCCUCAGGUCAUUUUCAUGCCUUCCCCCUGGCCAGCUUCUCAUCUGCUCCUGACAGGCUGGAUCCCCCAGACAGAGGUCAGAUAAAGUGAAAUCCCGGGUUGUCAUUGCUCAGCAUCAGUGCUGCCUGCCCGGCUCAGGGCUGGUAGGUGAGAGGAGACAGGGGUGAGGGCACGUCCAUAACCUGAAGGCCUCCUGGUCUUAGUGGAUUAGGGAGGAAAGUGAUGUCUCUGGACCGGUACCUGCUGACCGUACAGCCUCACAGCAGGGACAGCCAGUCCUCAGCUCUGGGGUCCCUGGGACACCUCACAGGGAACUGUGAGGCCCAGGCACGCGGCUCUUCCUGUCAGUUGGAUUUACUUGUGCUGCACACGCUCACCAGAGUGCGUUGGCGCGGCGCGUGGGCAAGGCGUGCUGCAGAUUCCUGAAUGGCCACUUGGCUCAGUGGGGUCUCAGAGCAGCCACCAGAAGCACAGCCUGUCAGCUAUGCUUGGGCAACUCAGCCUGCAUCUUUCUAGGAAUAGGCAGGCAACUGCGUCAACGACCAUGCCAGGUUCUCCUGGUGUUUCCUCCUCACACCCUACACGGCCUUGGAGGGGUGUGGGGGGUACACAGUCUUCAGUUCCGCCCAACCCCUUCAGAGCCCUCCUGAGCCCCUGCUUUUCCCAGCUUGAUGCCCCUCCCACUGCUCACCUCUCUGUACCUGGAGCCAUCCCAGCUGCAGUCACAUGACCCUUCUCUUUGCAUCUGGAGUCCUGUGUGUCCUGUGUCCAUCAGAGGCCUGAUUGAAACCAGCGUGCUCCAAGCUUGCCCCAUGGGGCCGGGUAUUAGUUAUUCAGAGAGGCACGGCCAUCAGUCACAGUUCAAUAUUUGUGUUAGUUUCUUGACCAACGUACUUAGCAAAUGUUUGUUGACCGAGUAAAUGCCAGCAGAUGGUAGCCGCUGGCAGGAACCGAGAGGAAGCUGAGCAAGAGCGAGGACAUUGGCAGACAUUGCUCCGAGGCCCUGUGGGAAGGGCUUUGGGGAUGCCUCCAGUAUGGCAGCAGAGCCUCGUGCUCUGAAGCCCCUGGCUGCUGAAGGCCUUUGCUUAGAAACUCUGUUAGAAAAAUUGUGAACCUUCCCAGAACCCAGGCAGGCCUCCUGCUUAGCACGGCAGCACCUUUAAAGGAGUCUUUCCUAUAAGGAAGCCAGGUGGGACUUAAACACAAGAUUAUAAUUAAGGAAAUAAGCCAACCAUUACAGCACACAUCUUUAGACCUAGCACUUAGGAGACAGAGACAGGUGGUGGAUCUCUGUGAGUUCAAAGCCAGCUUAGUCUACAGAGUGGGUUCCAGCCCAGCCAGGGCUACAUGUGUCAAAAGAGAUAAAACAAAUGCACUCUUUAGCUCUGUGGUGGGCGGGUUUCUAUGUGUGUGUGUGUGUGUGUGUGCGCGCGCGCACGCGGGCCCCAGAAUCGGAACAGUCCAGGGAUUUUGUUGCACAUUGCUGGCCUCAUGAAUGCUCAGCCAGCAGAAACAGUGAAGGAACUGGACAGACAGGUGGAGGUGACACCUGGCUGCACUGUAAGGGCCACAUGCAGGGAGGGGACAGCCCCUUCUAAGCAUUUCCAAGCUCUUGUCCCUUUCUGUGUUUAAGACUGGGGUGAGGGCUGAGGCAUUGGUCCUUAAGGGCUGUUUAUGCCAAGCAGGGCUGAGUGAAUGGACUGCCAGGGACAGGACAGUAGGGGAGUGGAGAUGGAGCCCAGGCACCAGUGGCUUGGUCAGAAAGCACUUGAAAUUAAUGUGCUGUGUGCCCCUCACCCAGCUUCUCCUCAUGUAACAGAUGGACAAACGUCUUGUCUCUGUGGCUGACAAGGCCCAGUACAGACAGUGUGUCUUCUUCCUGUCAAAGCUCUUUCUAGGAGCCUCACUCAUUUAGUCUUCGUGCCACCUUCCUUGUCUUUCCCAGUCAGCAGGCUAGACCUUACUUACCGUUGAAUUUAUGUGUGUGUGCACGUGUCCAUGAGUGUGUGUAUAUGUGCCUGUGUGUACAUGGGUAUAUACCCAUGAGUGUGUGUGUGUGUGUGUGUGUGUGUUGCACGCAUAUCCCAGCUAACCCAUGAAAAUCGGAAGAUAGCUUGCAAAGUCAUUUCUCUCCCUACACCACAUGGGUCCCCAGGGAUCCAGCUGGGUCUUCAGGCUUGGCCCAGUGCUCCCACCCCAGCCCUAAGCCAGGGUGUCACAAAGCUUCCCCAUUCUGCUGGUUGUAGCCCAGUACUCAUCUGAAUGUUAUCAUCGACAUCUCCAGCUGACUUCUGGGAAAUCAAGACCUGAGAGUUGAAGGCUGAGCGUCCCCUUCCACAUCACUGUUAUUUUUGUGGGGGGAUUUUUGUUGUUGGUGGUGGUGGUGGGUUUUUGUUUUUGUUUUUUGUUUUUGUUUUUUUUGUUUUUUUUCUGAGACAGGGUUUCUCUGUAUAGCCCUGGCUGUCCUGGAACUCACUCUGUAGACCAGGCUGGCCUUGAACUCAGAAAUCCGCCUGCCUCUGCCUCCCAAGUGCUGGGAUCAAAGGCGUGCGCCAUCACGUUUCAUCCUGAUUCUAACUAUUUGUAGAAAAGACAGCCAUGUUAAUCAGUUUCCUGCCUGUAUUUCUGACCAAAACAUUCAAGAGAACACAUUAAAGGGAGGAAUUACUUAUGUUGCUUCUCUUCAAAGGGUUCAUUCCUUCGUGGUGGGGAGACACAGGUCACAUCCUGGUGGCCAGGAAGUAGAGGUGGGACGGGAGUGAGCUGGCUCUCCCCACCCCCUUAUUUCAUCCAGUUCUGUCCCUGGAUUGUUCUUGCCAAUGGGUGCCCCAUGUCAGUCCACAGCCAUUCUCUGUGGCUGUCAGAGCCCUGCUAAGUUGCCCCACUCCAGUUGGAUCAUGGAAGGAUAGCCUUGUCUUAGCGUAUACCAUCAUUCCGCGUAUAGGUAAGAAUAACUGUAGACACUGCCUACAAGUGGGGCUUCGGGGUCCAAGCAAGUGCACUCCUCCUUACUGUGAAGGCCAAACCAGUACAGACCUGGCCAGUACUUAUGCUUGCUUCAAAUUUGGCUCUAAAAUUGUGGUACCAGUCUUCCUCUCACUCUGUGGGGUCAGAGGUAGAUGGUCUGCUUGGCUGCCUUUGGGGGAUGGUGGCUGUUGCUGCUCAGCUCCUAGGAUUAAACCCAGCAUCCACAUAUGCUUGCCCAGCCUCUCCAGGGGGCCGCGUCCCCGAGUGGUAGCCUUUUUAUUUGAAACACACAUCUCAGGUGUGCUGGUGCACGGCUUUAGUUAUGCAGCCCUGGAUGCCUUAGAACUCUCUGUGCAGACAAGGCUAGCCUCCGUGUGGUGAGCACGGGCGAGAGAGACACCAUGUCCAGCCUACGUGUUGUGUUGUGAGCACAGGCGAGGCACCAUCUCCAGCCUCCGUGCUGUGAGCACAGGCGAGACACCAUGUCCAGGUUGCGUAAUUCGUCUUUAUUAAGAAAUUUAUGAGCUGUUUUAGGGAACUUAGCACUUGGAUAAAAGUUGGAAGCAUUUUUCUCUGCUUAUUGUCUAAUUGGUUUGAUAGGUUAGGUUUUAAGGCAGUGUCUCAGGUUGCCUAGGCUGGCUUCACACUUGCUCUGUAGUUAGGCUAACCUUGGAACUGGUCCCCUGUGCAGUGCCUGCGCAGACCAGGGGUCCCGAAUGCUUGAGAAGCACUCGCUGGCAGCGGGGCUGCAGACAAAGCUGGGGUUCGGGUUUAACCUGCUUGUCCUUAAAUUCCCUCUAACUCUGUAGAACUAUUAUAUAAUUAAAUCUGUUAAUCUUUUACCUGUAACCUUGAUACCCAUAAAGCUGUUAUGAGUUUAUUGUCAGGCCUACAUCUUACUCACAAAAGAUGUGUUUUAUGUUAACACACGGUUUCUUGUACUUUACGAGGGUUUUUGUUGUAUUGAUAGGGUUUCCUAUAACCCAGGCUGGCCUCAAACUUUCUGUACAGCUGGGUGUAGCCCUGAAUGUCCUCUUCUAAUUCUUUAAAAAAAAAAAAAAAGAUUUAUUUAUUUUAUGUAUAUGAGUACACUGUAGCUGUACAGAUGGUUGUGAACCAUCAUGUGGUUGCUGGGAAUUCACCUCAGGCCCUCUGCUCACUCUGGCCCCACUCGCUCAGGCACAAAGAUUUAUUUAUUAUUAUAUGUAAGUUCACUGUAGCUGUCUUCAGAUGCACCAGAAGAAGGCAUCAGAUUUCAUUACAAAUGGUUGUGAGCCACCAUGUGGUUGCUGAGAUUUGAACUCAGGACCUUCGGAAGAGCAGUCAGUGCUCUUAACCGCUGAGCCAUCUCACCAGCCCCAACCCUGACUUUCUUACCCUGUGCCUCCACCUCCUGAGUGCUAGGCUUACAGAUGUGCAUCACCACCCCUGGCUAAUGGGUGCUGAGGAUCAAACCCAUAGAGGCUUGGCUACACUAGAGAGGCAAGCACACUCCCCACUGAGCUACAUCUCCUGCCUGGUGUACAGGACUGCAGCCUUUGUGCUUUGUCUUGGGAUAGAUGGGGGACCAGCUUCUAUGUCAGCACUUCCUCGGCUGUUCUCACAGCCCGCUCCCAGACUUAAUCUUCUCUCUUGAUUUGAGGCAGGGGUUUGUCUGUGUGUGUGUCUGUCUGUGUGGUGUCUCUUGUGAUGAGCUGCUCACAUCCUUCCUGUGACCAUCACUUAGCCAGAAUCCUCCAGAUCCACACAUCCCUGGCUUCUAGCUCUCUACCAUAUAGGCCUCAGGGCUGCAAGUCCAGCUGCCCAGAGCACAGCCUCGGAGAGGCCACAUUGCGGUCCAGGACUCAGCAUGGCCGGAUGGAACGCAGUGUGAGCAGGGAGGACGUGGAGCACAGAGGCGCUUCGCUGGGCAGCACUAGUGUUAAAUGUGCUUGUGCUUCACAGCUACAGGGGUUAGAAAUACAACCCUCAGGGGUGCACACCUUUAAUCCCAUGUUUAACAGACGGAGGCAGAUGGAUCUUUUUAAGUUCUAGGCCAGCCUGGUUGACACCCUGGGCUACAUAAAGAGAUCUUAUUUCACAAAAC